rnacentral:rRNA from 1 species
UGGGGAAUAUUGGACAAUGGGCGAAAGCCUGAUCCAGCCAUGCCGCGUGUGUGAAGAAGGUCUUCGGAUUGUAAAGCACUUUAAGUUGGGAGGAAGGGCAGUAAGCGAAUACCUUGCUGUUUUGACGUUACCGACAGAAUAAGCACCGGCUAACUCUGUGCCAGCAGCCGCGGUAAUACAGAGGGUGCAAGCGUUAAUCGGAAUUACUGGGCGUAAAGCGCGCGUAGGUGGUUCGUUAAGUUGAAUGUGAAAGCCCCGGGCUCAACCUGGGAACUGCAUCCAAAACUGGCGAGCUAGAGUAGGGCAGAGGGUGGUGGAAUUUCCUGUGUAGCGGUGAAAUGCGUAGAGAUAGGAAGGAACACCAGUGGAGAAGGCGACCACCUGGGCUCAUACUGACACUGAGGUGCGAAAGCGUGGGGAGCAAACAGG